rnacentral:rRNA from 1 species
GACGAACGCUGGCGGCGUGCCUAAUACAUGCAAGUAGAACGCACAGUUUAUACCGUAGCUUGCUACACCAUAGACUGUGAGUUGCGAACGGGUGAGUAACGCGUAGGUAACCUGCCUGGUAGCGGGGGAUAACUAUUGGAAACGAUAGCUAAUACCGCAUAAUAUUGAUUAUUGCAUGAUAAUUGAUUGAAAGAUGCUAUUGCAUCACUACCAGAUGGACCUGCGUUGUAUUAGCUAGUAGGUGAGGUAACGGCUCACCUAGGCGACGAUACAUAGCCGACCUGAGAGGGUGAUCUGCCACACUGGGACUGAGACACGGCCCAGACUCCUACGGGAGGCAGCAGUAGGGAAUCUUCGGCAAUGGACGAAAGUCUGACCGAGCAACGCCGCGUGAGUGAAGAAGGGUUUCGGAUCGUAAAGCUCGGUUGUAAGAGAAGAACGGGUGUGAGAGUGGAAAGUUCACACUGUGACGGUAUCUUACCAGAAAGGGACGGCUAACUACGUG